rnacentral:lncRNA from 1 species
UUGGGAUUGUGGACCAUUUUGGUUUCUUGGAUUGGGUUCAGGUUGGCUAAGUAGCUUACCUCUUUCUCGCUCACUCAUAGCAAAGGCUAGCUGACCCACUUGUAUUUUCAAGUGAACAAUGGCCUGGGUGUUACUAUUUAUGAGUUGGCCCGUGGUUUGCAUGAAAUUACUCAGUGUGGCAUUGGUGUCAAUAUUGAAUUUGGCCAGGACUUCU